CAUCAACCAGGAUGGAUUUCAGGAUAUUGCUGUGGGAGCUCCGUUUGAAGGCUUGGGCAAAGUGUACAUCUAUCACAGUAGCUCUAAGGGGCUCCUUAGACAGCCCCAGCAGGUAAUCCAUGGAGAGAAGCUGGGACUGCCUGGGUUGGCCACCUUCGGCUAUUCCCUCAGUGGGCAGAUGGAUGUGGAUGAGAACUUCUACCCAGACCUUCUAGUGGGAAGCCUGUCAGACCACAUUGUGCUGCUGCGGUGAGCCAGGAGGGCCCGGCCCGUCAUCAACAUCGUCCACAAGACCUUGGUGCCCAGGCCAGCUGUGCUGGACCCUGCACUUUGCACGGCCACCUCUUGUGUGCAAGUGGAGCUGUGCUUUGCUUACAACCAGAGUGCCGGGAACCCCAACUACAGGCGAAACAUCACCCUGGCCUACACUCUGGAGGCUGACAGGGACCGCCGGCCGCCCCGGCUCCGCUUUGCCGGCAGUGAGUCCGCUGUCUUCCACGGCUUCUUCUCCAUGCCCG
rnacentral:lncRNA from 1 species